rnacentral:tRNA from 4 species
GGAGAGGUGGCAGAGUGGCCGAAUGUACCUGACUCGAAAUCAGGCGUACCGUAAGGUACCGUGGGUUCGAAUCCCACCCUCUCCUCCA